rnacentral:rRNA from 1 species
CCUACGGGAGACAGCAGUGGGGGAUAUUGCACAAUGGGCGAAAGCCUGAUGCAGCGACGCCGCGUGUGGGAAGACGGUCCUCUGGAUUGUAAACCUCUGUUGUCAGGGGCGAAGAUGACGGUACCUAGGCAGGAAGCACCGGCUAACUACGUGCCAGCAGCCGCGGUAAUACGUAGGGAGCGAGCGUUGUCCGGAAUUACUGGGUGUAAAGGGAGCGUAGGCGGUAUGUGAGGUUGGGGGUUAAAGCUAGGGGCUCAACUGGGAGUCGCAGUUGAAACUGGUGUUCUUGAGUGAAGUAGAGGCAGGCGGAAUGCGCAGUGUAGCGGUGAAAUGCGUAGAUAUUAGGAAGAACACCGGUGGCGAAGGCAGCCUACUGGGCGUUUACUGACGCUGAGGCUCGAAAGCGUGGGGAUCAAACAGGAUUAGAUACCCGAGUAGUC